UUUUGGUCAAAAAGACAAUUCUACCCUUCAAAAACUAACCUAAUUUCUUUUGCUUUGGAAUUUCACUUGCCUCUCGCCGUCAAACUCUCUUGUUCGAUCUCGUCUUCGUCAGUGUGUCGUCAUCGUCUCGUCUUUGUCGGUGUGUCGUCGUCGUCUUCAUCAUCAUGUCGUCAUCGUCAUCGUCAUCGUCGCUGUUGUUGUCGUUCUGAUCUCGCCGUCGAUCUAAACAUAUCUCAACUUCAUUGCGAUUCGAUCUCGAACUAGCUUUCGCUUCUCAAAAUAGCAGCGGAGAUGGAAAUCUUGUUUGGUCAAUUGAGCAUAUGGGGUGUCGGGAAUGCCAUGAUUUUGAACCAAGUCUAAGGUGAUACCUAAAUCGACUAAUUGAUAUUGAUCUGAAGGUAGGAAAUCUCAUUUUGGAUUGUCUUUGUACAUAGAAGAAGAGAUGAUGUAAAUGUAUAGUGAUUGGUGCGUCUUUGUUGGAGCACCUGAGACUUUAGACAAAGGAGGAUGGAGGAGAGAUGCCCAAUAUUCACAAUCUCUUUCACCCCCAAGAGAUCUUGACUUGCAUUGAGUUGCUCUUUUUGAAGGUGGGACAUACAACCUGCAACACAAUUAGGAGCUCAUGCUUAUGUGGAUUUAGUGUGAAAGGAUCAAACAAUAAGAAACAUGGCUCGGACUGGUUUUAUAUUGCAGGAGAGCUUAGAUUGUAUAUGAAACACGACAUGUUACAUUGUUUAACUUUUCUGCAAUUCUUAUUUGUAUUUUUGAUUAUACAAGUAGUACAUCAGUUAUAGAAUAUUAAGGAUUCAUAAUAUAUCUUUAAAGUUUCAUUCUCUGUCAA